rnacentral:rRNA from 1 species
GGGUUGUGAGGUUAAGCGACUAAGCGUACACGGUGGAUGCCCUGGCAGUCAGAGGCGAUGAAGGACGUGCUAAUCUGCGAUAAGCGUCGGUGAGGUGAUAUGAACCGUUAUAACCGGCGAUUUCCGAAUGGGGAAACCCAGUGUGUUUCGACACACUAUCAUUAACUGAAUCCAUAGGUUAAUGAGGCGAACCGGGGGAACUGAAACAUCUAAGUACCCCGAGGAAAAGAAAUCAACCGAGAUUCCCCCAGUAGCGGCGAGCGAACGGGGAGGAGCCCAGAGCCUGAAUCAGUGUGUGUGUUAGUGGAAGCGUCUGGAAAGGCGCGCGAUACAGGGUGACAGCCCCGUACACAAAAAUGCACAUAUUGUGAGCUCGAUGAGUAGGGCGGGACACGUGGUAUCCUGUCUGAAUAUGGGGGGACCAUCCUCCAAGGCUAAAUACUCCUGACUGACCGAUAGUGAACCAGUACCGUGAGGGAAAGGCGAAAAGAACCCCGGCGAGGGGAGUGAAAAAGAACCUGAAACCGUGUACGUACAAGCAGUGGGAGCCUCUUAAUGGGGUGACUGCGUACCUUUUGUAUAAUGGGUCAGCGACUUAUAUUCUGUAGCAAGGUUAACCGAAUAGGGGAGCCGAAGGGAAACCGAGUCUUAACUGGGCGUUAAGUUGCAGGGUAUAGACCCGAAACCCGGUGAUCUAGCCAUGGGCAGGUUGAAGGUUGGGUAACACUAACUGGAGGACCGAACCGACUAAUGUUGAAAAAUUAGCGGAUGACUUGUGGCUGGGGGUGAAAGGCCAAUCAAACCGGGAGAUAGCUGGUUCUCCCCGAAAGCUAUUUAGGUAGCGCCUCGUGAAUUCAUCUCCGGGGGUAGAGCACUGUUUCGGCAAGGGGGUCAUCCCGACUUACCAACCCGAUGCAAACUGCGAAUACCGGAGAAUGUUAUCACGGGAGACACACGGCGGGUGCUAACGUCCGUCGUGAAGAGGGAAACAACCCAGACCGCCAGCUAAGGUCCCAAAGUCAUGGUUAAGUGGGAAACGAUGUGGGAAGGCCCAGACAGCCAGGAUGUUGGCUUAGAAGCAGCCAUCAUUUAAAGAAAGCGUAAUAGCUCACUGGUCGAGUCGGCCUGCGCGGAAGAUGUAACGGGGCUAAACCAUGCACCGAAGCUGCGGCAGCGACGCUUAUGCGUUGUUGGGUAGGGGAGCGUUCUGUAAGCCUGCGAAGGUGUGCUGUGAGGCAUGCUGGAGGUAUCAGAAGUGCGAAUGCUGACAUAAGUAACGAUAAAGCGGGUGAAAAGCCCGCUCGCCGGAAGACCAAGGGUUCCUGUCCAACGUUAAUCGGGGCAGGGUGAGUCGACCCCUAAGGCGAGGCCGAAAGGCGUAGUCGAUGGGAAACAGGUUAAUAUUCCUGUACUUGGUGUUACUGCGAAGGGGGGACGGAGAAGGCUAUGUUGGCCGGGCGACGGUUGUCCCGGUUUAAGCGUGUAGGCUGGUUUUCCAGGCAAAUCCGGAAAAUCAAGGCUGAGGCGUGAUGACGAGGCACUACG